rfam:Legionella nautarum strain ATCC 49506 Lnau_ctg013, whole genome shotgun sequence.
GGGGGCCAGACUUAAAGAUACGGUGAGCAAGCUUAACUUGUAUUAAGAAGCCUAAAGUAUCUUAGGAGGCGUCCAC